rnacentral:rRNA from 1 species
AGCCCUAAUAAUUAUUUAAGGGGUAACCUGCCCCGUGAUUUAAAAUUUGAAAUUAAAAAAAAAAUGAAAAAUUAAACGGCCGCAGUAUAUUGACUGUGAUAAUGUAGCCCAAUAAGGAGCCGCUUAAUUAGCGGAUGGUAUGAAUGGUUAGACGAGAAUUUCNCUGUNUUAAAAAGAAAUCUAACAAAAUUAAAAUAAUAGUUAAGAUGCUAUUUAAAAUUGUAAGACGAGAAGACCCUAUAAAGCUUAACUAUUAGUUCUAUAUAAUAAUAAUAUAAUAUAAUAGAAAGAGGUAGUUUAGUUUGGGCCCCGAUGUUUUAAAAAAAAAAAACAUAAAUAAUUUACUGUAUAAAAAAUUAAUUUAACAGUUAUAAAAUAGAUGAAUGACCUGUUAUUACAAAAAAAUAUGAAUAACAAUUAAUAAAUAAAAGCUACUUUAGGGAUAACAGGAUAAUCUUAUCAAAGAGAAGAUAUCAAAGAUAAGGUUUGUCACCUCGAUGUUGAAUUAAAGUAUCCUUUUGGCGCAGAAGUCAAAAAAGGGGGGUCUGUUCAACCUUUAAAUACUUUA